UCUACAUGGCCAGACACUGCCACAGUGACAGAAAUUCUGAUCCACUUGUUGUUAAAGUAAAUGAAGAGUAUCUCCAAAUUAAGAGCUCACCAUCUGUGCUGAUUGAUGGAUCUGAAGGCAGUAACAACAGUUAAAAGCCAGCAAGAAAUCUCCCAGCAGCUUCAAGAGCAAAAAGAGCAAAAGGUGCAGAACUAGCACCUGACAUUCUCCCAAUUCAGGAUAAAACAACUGUCAAAAAGAAGCAUAUCCCUUGCCCUUUUAAUACUCUGUGCAAGGAGUUUUGCCUCCUGAUCUCUUAACCUAGUUCUCAUCAGUAUGUCCUUCCGCUAAAUUACAACCAAACCACAGACAUAUAUCAGAUGUGGCAAUAUACUGAAAUGGACAGAUGAAAAAAAUGCCAUCUCUAGCUGCCCAUAUACCAGCAUCUUUCAUUCUGAGAAAUAGAGUUGAAAAGUUAAAAUAAAAAAAAUCAAUGCAUUUUAA